rnacentral:rRNA from 1 species
UACGGAGGGGGCUAGCGUUGUUCGGAAUUACUGGGCGUAAAGCGCGCGUAGGCGGACCUGCAAGUCGGGGGUGAAAUCCUGGAGCUCAACUCCGGAACUGCCUUCGAUACUGGAGAGCUUGAGUCCGGGAGAGGUGAGUGGAACUGCGAGUGUAGAGGUGAAAUUCGUAGAUAUUCGCAAGAACACCAGUGGCGAAGGCGGCUCACUGGCCCGGUACUGACGCUGAGGUGCGAAAGCGUGGGGAGCAAACAGG